CCCACCGCCCGGCCACGCCGUCGGGGGCCGCCCCGCCGGGGCCCGUGGGCGGCGACGUGGCCAGCGACAGCUACAACAACCUGUUCCGCGACGUGGAGGGGCUGCGGCGCCUGGGGGUCUCGCACUACCGCUUCUCGCUGUCCUGGGCCCGGCUGCUGCCCAACGGGACGGCGCCGCCCAACCCGGCCGGGCUGGCGCACUACGGGCGGCUGCUGGCCCGCCUGCGGGAGCUGGGCGUCGAGCCCGUGGUCACCCUCUACCACUGGGACCUGCCGCAGGCCCUGCAGGACGCCUUCGGCGGCUGGGCCAGCCCCGUCCUGCCCGGGCUCUUCCGCGACUACGCCGAGCUGUGCUUCCGGCACUUCGGCGGGCAGGUGCGCUACUGGCUGACCAUGGACAACCCGUACGUGGUGGCCUGGCAUGGCUACGGCACGGGGCGGCUGCCGCCCGGCGUGCGGGGAGGCCCGCGCCUGGCCUACCUGGCCGCCCACCACCUGCUCCAGGUAAAUGGCGCGAAGGGGCCCCGGCGGCUCCUCGGCCGUGCCAAGGUGGCGGGCUCGCAGGCCGAGCUCAGCCCGUCCCACCGGCCCACCUGUCCCCUGGUCCGACACUGGUGUGGAACACAGAUCCAUAUGCCCGACAGAUUGCGGGCAGCAGAUGUAUAGGCAAAGACGCAAAACUCAUGGUGUAAGGCAGGAGCUUACUUGAGCUACUUACACCAGAGACUGAGCUGGUGGAGAGUUAAAAGAGCUCUGUUUUGCAGAAAUGUCCACUUCUGCCCUCGGCAGUUCAGUGGCCAUUCUGGGUGGAUGAGGGUCUGCAGACCCUGGACUGUGCCACUCCAGUGCUGCCUUUCCAAGGUGGAAAUGCUUAAUAAGACUGUAAAGGGAAUUAGUGUAUUUGAUAAAAAAGGCUCACUGAAUUAAUGGAGGUGGUUGCGGUGGCCAAUAUGUCAAACAGAGACAUUUUCUUGACAGAGUAUGAUGGUUUUUUGAGCGUGAGCACUUUUUGGGGAAAGAGACCC
rnacentral:lncRNA from 1 species